rnacentral:rRNA from 1 species
GGUUCGAUUCUGGCUCAGAUUGAACGCUGGCGGGAUGCACAUGCAAGUCGAACGGCAGCACGGACUUCGGUCUGGUGGCGAGUGGCGAACGGGUGAGUAAUGUAUCGGAACGUGCCUAGUAGCGGGGGAUAACUACGCGAAAGCGUAGCUAAUACCGCAUACGCCCUUCAGGGGGACCUUCGGGCCUCGCACUAUUAGAGCGGCCGAUAUCGGAUUAGCGUUGGUGGGGUAACGGCUCACCAAGGCGACGAUCAAUAGCUGGUUUGAGAGGACGACCAGCCACACUGGGACUGAGACACGGCCCAGACUCCUACGGGAGGCAGCAGUGGGGGAAUUUUGGACAAUGGAAACCUGAUCCAGCCAUCCCGCGUGUGCGAUGAAGGCCUUCGGGUUGUAAGAAAGCACUUUUGGCGGGAAAGAAACGGCACGGGAUAAUACCCGUGCAACUGACAAGCACCUGCAGAAUGGCACCGGCUAACUACGUGCCAGCAGCCACUUGUUAAUACGUAGGGUGCAAGCGUUAAUCAAUUACUGGGCGUAAAGCGUGCGCAGGCGGUUCGGAAAGAAAGAUGUGAAAUCCCAGAGCUUAACUUUGGAACUGCAUUUUUAACUACCGAGCUAGAGUGUGUCAGAGGGAGGUGGAAUUCCGCGUGUAGCAGUGAAAUGCGUAGAUAUGCGGAGGAACACCGAUGGCGAAGGCAGCCUCCUGGGAUAACACUGACGCUCAUGCACGGCUUGUGAGGAGCAAAGCCAAGUUAAAGAUACCCUGGUAGUCCACGCCCUAAACGAUGUCAACUAGCUGUUGGGGCCUUCCGGGCCUUGGUAACAGCUAACGCGUGAAGUUGACCGCCUGGGAAGCGGUCGCAAGAUUAAAACUCAAAGGAAUUGACGGGGACCCGCACAAGCGGUGGAUGAUUAAUUCGAUGCAACGCAAAAACACCCUACCCUUACGACACUUCUGGAAUCCCGAAAGAUUUGGGAGUGCUCGCAAGAGAACCGGAACACAGGUGCUGCAUGGCUGUCGUCAGCUCGUGUCGUGAGAUGUUGGGUUAAGUCCCGCAACGAGCGCAACCCUUGUCAUUAGUUGCUACGAAGGGCACUCUAAUGAGACUGCCGGUAAACCGGAGGAAGGUGAGAUGACGUCAAAGUCCUCAUGGCCCUUAUGGGUAGGGCUUCACACGUCAUACAAUGGUCGGGACAGAAGUAACCCGCGAGGGGGGAGCCAAUCCCAGUCGUAGUCCGGAUCGCAGUCUGCAACUCGACUGCGUGAAGUCGGAAUCGCUAGUAAUCGCGGAUCAGCAUGUCGCGGUGAAUACGUUCCCGGGUCUUGUACACACCGCCCGUCACACCAUGGGAGUGGGUUUUACCAGAAGUAGUUGGCCUAACCGUAAGGAGGCGAUCACCACGGUAGGAUUCAUGACUGGGGUGAAGUCGUAACAAGGAA